UAGGCCCUGAAUCAAGACCAGUGGUUUGCUGUAGCAGUUGGUUUCAAACAGGAGCCAAGAGCAUUGUCUUCCUGUGGUCUUUUGGCUAUUCAUUACCACAAUGGGGAAUGGCCAGUUCAGUUGGAAGAAACAUAC